UACGUAGGGUGCGAGCGUUGUCCGGAAUUAUUGGGCGUAAAGGGCUCGUAGGCGGUUUGUCGCGUCGGGAGUGAAAACCCAGGGCUUAACUCUGGGCUUGCUUUCGAUACGGGCAGACUAGAGUGAUGUAGGGGAGACUGGAAUUCCUGGUGUAGCGGUGAAAUGCGCAGAUAUCAGGAGGAACACCGAUGGCGAAGGCAGGUCUCUGGGCAUUAACUGACGCUGAGGAGCGAAAGCAUGGGGAGCGAACAGG
rnacentral:rRNA from 1 species